rnacentral:rRNA from 1 species
CGCGAACGCUGGCGGCAUGGCUAAAACAUGCAAGUCGAGCGCGAAAUCCCCCUCGGGGGAGAGUAGAGCGGCGAAAGGGCGAGGAAUGCGUUUCUAUGUACCCCGCGGUCGAGGAUAGCCCAGGGAAACUUGGAUUAAUACUCGAUGUGGUCUCAGGAUCAAAGGCUUCGGCCGCCGUGGGAGCGGGGAACGUCCUAUCAGGUUGUUGGUGAGGUAAUGGCUCACCAAGCCUCAGACGGGUAGCUGGUGUGAGAGCACGACCAGCCGCAUCGGGACUGAGACACUGCCCGGACUCCUACGGGAGGCUGCAGUAACGAAUCUUCCGCAAUGCGCGAAAGCGUGACGGAGCAAUGCCGCGUGCAGGAUGAAGCCCCUUGGGGUGUAAACUGCUGUCAGGGGUCAGUAACACAAUGAACAACCCCAAAGGAAGGGCCGGCUAACUUCG